rnacentral:rRNA from 1 species
GAUGAACGCUGGCGGCGUGCCUAAUACAUGCAAGUCGAGCGAACAGACGAUGCUCUUGCUCCGCUGACGAUAGCGGCGGACGGGUGAGUAACACGUGGAUACCCUACCUAUAAGACUGGGAUAACUUCGGGACACCGGAUCUAAUACCGGAUAAGAUAUUGAUCCGCAUGGUUCAAUAGUGAAAGACGGCUUUGCUGUCACUUAUAGAUGGAUCCGCGCUGCAUUAGCUAGUUGGUAAGGUAACGGCUUACCACGGCAACGAUGCGUAGCCGACCUGAGAGGGUGAUAGGCCACCCUGGAACUGAGCCACGGUCCAGACUCCUGCGGGAGGCAGCAGUAGGGAAUCUUCGGCAAUGGGCGAAAGCUUGACGGAGCAACGCCGCGUGAGUGAUGAAGGUCUUCGGAUCGGAAAACUCUGUUAUUAGGGAAGAACAAAUGUGUAAGUAACUAUGCACGUCUUGACGGUACCUAAUCAGAAAGCCACGGCUAACUACGUG